GGGGGUGUAACUCAGUGGUAGAGUGUCUACUUCGCAUGCAGAAUGUCCUGGGUUCAAAUCCCAGCUCCUCCA
rnacentral:tRNA from 1 species